CAUCAUCAAGAUGCCCUGAACCCUAUCUAUGGACGAGCACGUUUAUUACUAUAGAUGAAAAACCACUGGAUUGGAUUUUCCUCUUGCUUUGCAAUUUUUGCCCUGGAAUAGAAGACAGUCUUAAAAGAACAUAAGCAGUGCUGCUUUUGUCCCCACGCGAUUCUCUUCUUCACUCCAUGGAGUAGAUUAAUUACUUCCUCACAGAGCAGAUCAGCGGUGGAAUCCUCCUCCACUUUCUCUUUGUUUCAAAUAACAAAGACUCUUUUGCAGGCAGGCAGCACUUAUAUUUUCAAGUUGGACGUAUCUUUUCAGCUAGCAAAUCCUCAACAUCACGACCCUGGACAAUUCCUAUGUUCAAAACUUUGGGUAUUUAUCAUUCAACUGCUUCAUGCAAUAACCCGUUAUCUAGUCAUUCUGAGUGUUUUAGUCAUUGUGAGACCUCGAUCCCACCCAAAGCUUGUAUGUCAUCUAGCUUUCCCUGGAGAACUGGACUCCAGUACCAAAGUGGAAAACUUGCGGGAUCAGGUAGAUACCGGACUGAUCUUUCAGGUGCUAUAACUGGAUUUCACACAAUAUCAAUUAAUUUCAUUGGAUCUUUGAUUCCACUUCCAAAGCAAAUAGAUGGAUUCCAAAUCAGUUCUGAGAUACAUUCUCUUUAUCCUCAAAUUAAACCUCGUAUAUUUUCUUCUCCUGAUCAGUGUGUCAUUGGAUCGUGGCUGGGAGUUUCUCCUGAUAUUAGAUCUGGGGCACAGGCACAGGCUGCGCCAUAUGAAACUGAAACAGUGAUAUGGAGCCCAUUUAAUAAAGAAUUUGAUCAAACGAAAAUUUAUUAUAUUGUGGAAAAAGUUACUAUUGGUGCAGAGGAAGAAAGUUAUGAUGUAAAUCUACGGUCCCCUUUAUUAGUUAGUGAAAUCGAGUUAAAGUGUCCCAUGCUCAGUGACUGUGGGUAUCAGUACUCUUCAGCAACACCUACGGUGAAUACAUUGUUCAGUGGAGCUUGGUACUCAGCGAAAUCCCAAAUCACCUCUACAGAACCAGAUGGAAAAACGAUGUCUCCUGUAUCUAAGACAAAUCUGUUAUCCUAUACAAUUACUAUUCCUUUCUCUAAGCCUCUACCUACAAACAAUCCUUUUCUGUCUUGGGCUUAUUAUAAACCAAAUAAGAUCAUAGAAUCAAGCCACCUGUGUACAAUUAGCCUACUGAAUACACAUGAGGCCAGUGUAAUAAAACAAAAAUGGUUUGAAGUUAUAACAUGGCCUUUGUUCUAUUCUAAUAUUGUUAAACCUCUCACUUAUUCUAAAAUGAAUUUCAAGCGACAAUGGAUACAAAGCGAUUCAGACAUACCACAGCUUUGGACGUUUUCAAAAGUCAAGCCAAGGAAGUAUUUGGAUACCUUUAAAGCUGAUAAAGCAAGGCUGUGGUUGCAGAUUAAGAAUAAAGAAACAGAAUUCCAGAAACAUCCCAAAUUUCCGUUUGAGAGUCCCAGAAUUGAGAGCAGAGAAGGUAAAAUAAAAUAUUGGAUGAAGGCAAGAGGAGGUGCAAUUAUAUCAUUGGACCAAACAGAAACUUGUACAAUUGUACCACAGAACCGACCUGAUCCUAGUGCAGUCGGAUGUUGCUCUAAUUCUUAUCACACAUUGCUGAGGAUGCAACGAGAUGUUAAGACUUUUACUUAUCUUGAAAUUGAUAUGGCCAGACCAUUGGGCAGCCCCACUGGAAAUACUGAACAUUCAGAAAAGUCUAUACCAUUUACCGUUAGGUCUCGGAUGCACGCCGAGGGUGUGAAAAUCACACACUGGACAAAGUCACACACUGAAGAAAAGGUUUGGUUCCCUGUGCAAUCAAGAGGGGCCCAGCAUCCAUGUGACUCUCAAGUGAAUCAUUACUUGUCUGAGCUGCAAGAUGAAAAAAUACGACCUUGGUAUCGACCACAAGUCAAUACAGUCAAAACUGUGAUUAACACAGAGUUUCCAAUGCUGCCUUCCUGGAUCAAACAGGAAGGUGACCAAUCAGGACUCUGGACUCAAAGCCAAGACGAUUUUGCUAAAUAUUGGUUUCAAAUUCGAAUUAAAAUGAUCUCACAAGGGGCACAGCCAGUAUCUCAAACAGAACACAAAUGGGCAAUGUUGGAAACUGAAACAGAUAGACUCUGGGACCCACCUGUGGUUGACAAAUUAAGAAACUGGAUCCAUCAUGGCAUUGAUACAGUGAAGACCUUAAAUGAUUUAGAUGUUCAUAAAAUUAAACCACAGGUACACAAAGAGGCCAGGACAUUAAUAAAAUGGAGGCAGACUGACUUGCUCAAAAUAAAAACCCAGGCACCAUAUGAAGCUGACAUAGCCAUGUCAUGGAAUCAUGAUGGAAAACUAUUAGUCCACAACUGGAAGGACUUUUUGGAAGACAGAGACACAACUUGGAUAAAUUCUCAGCUCCAAGAACUGAAUGACUGGGCACCACCUAAAAUCGAUAGAUUCUCAAGGUGGACAAAGACAGACACACCACUCUCAAGCCUCUUGAUCUCGUCUGAAAUGGACACAUUUGUGCAGUCAGCCGUAAGUAAAUCCUCAAACAUAAAUCUCCUGAUAGAUUCUAUAAUUUAUGCUAUGCUAUUGUGGACCAAAAAGAAACCAGCAUCGAAGUCAAAAUGUACUCAUACUAUACUGAUUUUGUGGAUGUCAACAAAAAUGUUACCAGGAAGUCUCUGCACGCAAACCCUACGGGAUAAGUACGUGCCAUGGCUCCAGGAUGAGUCUCAAGAAACAAAUAACUGGAUGAUUUCUGAAUCUGAUUUAACGUCCUUGUGGCCUAAAACUCACUAUCCAGAAAUAAACUCAGUACCGUUUAAGGGUGAAACAUUUACAAUAUGGGACCCAGAGGAAUACCCUACACCAAAUCUAUGGAGAGAGAUUGAAGCAGAGAUAACCACUGAACUGACCCACACUGAGUCACCACUAGGAACUUCAUGUGCAUUUCAAGUUCCCAACAUGACAGUUUUUAACCAGGCUGACCCUCCGCCAAGAAUUCGUCCGCUGAGGGAGGACUAUGAUGAAAUAACAACGUGGCUCUCAUACAAAACACAACCAGUAAAUCCGUGGACUCCACCAGGUAGGAAUUUAGCCUCGGCUCCUCACUAUGAAACGUCAGUGAACAAUCUCUUCUCAGAGACAAAAUAUGAUACAGAUAUUCCAUGGUUUCACACUGAGUUUUUUACAGAAACCUCACUGACGGGGGCUGAAACUGUUUCAGGAGUGGGCGUGAAUGACGCUGAAACUGUAAAUAUGUGGACACAGACUACGGAUGCUUUGGAAAAAUUACGGACGAAGGAUAAAAUCCAAAUACCCACUUCCUUCACAGAGGGGAGAAUGGAUAGUUUCACACCAUGGAUUCAGAUGGAGUCUCCAACAUAUGAUAAAUGGACACUCCGUGUAUCCGAUAAAAUCACUUUAUUGACUCAAGCUAUGCAUCCAACAGGAUAUCAAUGGACAGAAAGCAUAGCUCCCACUGCCUCAGUUUGGCUGAAAGGCAAUCCUCUGUUAGUAAAUCUGUGGCUACAGAAAAUAUCUGACAGGGCUCUAUUGCCAUGGCCCCAGGCCGAAUACCUACCAUUAAACCUGCAACCUCCAGCUGUGACUUACACAAUCAUACCACACCUAUUUCAAGCUGAAUAUGCACCAAUCAGUCUGUGGAGAAAACCCACGUCCGAUGUCAUCAUCAUGCCAUGGAAUCAGCCUGAAUUAUUCAAUCAGAAAACAUAUCUUGAAUCUAAUACCAGAGUCCUGCCGUGGCCGGAGCCCGAACAGAUACCUGAGCACUUAUGGCUCCUACCAAUAAGUGAUACCUUUAUAUCACAGUGGCCAUGGCACGAAUCUUCUAAAAUAAAUAUGGCAUCAGCAGUAAACCCUGAUGCAUUGAUAAUGUCUAUACCACGAUGGCCAGAGAAGCACACACCUGAGGUGAAUCUAAGGUCACUACUUGUAUCUGACAGAAAGGCAGCAGCUUCGUUAUGGAGUGAAUAUUCAGCAGGAAAUGCGCUUGUAUCACCUAUGGAUGACAGAGUCACAUCUUGGUCCCAGUUUCAGGCCCUGCCAGCCUACACACAGGCGUGGACUGUAUUUGAUAUGAUGAUGCAAUCACAUACCCACAAUAAGUGUACAUUAAUAAACCAAUGGCCACACAUUUUCUCUGGUGCAAUGACAUCACCAUGGUGCUUGGAUGAUUUUCAAGCAACAAGUAUGUGGAGACAACCUGUGUCUGAUGAAUUUGUGCUAUCAAGGACACCGGUUUCAUCUCCAGAAGUAAAUCCGUGGGGCUCUGUGAUGUCUGAUGCAAUCACAGUCUCGUGCUCUGGAUCCGAAUAUUUGCUAGUAGACAGGGGGACACUCCUCAGAUAUAAUACAAUUGCACCUGCAUGGCUACAGCAGAGACUCCCACUGGAUUUAAGAAUGUCCCCCAUAUCUGAUAUAAUCACGCCACAUUGGUUACAGAAAGAAUCUACAGAUGGAAAUCUAAGGCUGUGGAGUGUGUCUGAUGCAGUGACACCGACUUGGACCCAGAUAGAAUCUCCAAUAUGGGGUCUGUGGGCGCUGCCACCUCCUAAUCCAGGGCCUCCAAAUGCAUUUCCAACAAGAAAUCUAUUGCCAAACUACUCAGCUGACAAAAUCACACAACCGUGGGAUCGCACUGAAAUUCCAUGGAUACAUCAUGCAUCCAUCACUAUUCCGCCAUUACGUCAGACUGAGUUUCGAGCUGAAAACCUUUGGACAUCGCCUUUGUCUGACACAGUGGCACCAUUAUCAACCCAUGUGGGUUCUUUGCCACUAUACCUGAGGACACUGUUACCGUCUAACUUUAUCACUGCACUGUGGACCCUCCCAGAACCUUUGCCAUCGAAACUAUGGACAUCAUCUGUAUUAAAUGGACUCAGACUGUCCUUGCCCCAGACUGAAUCUAAAAACAUAAAUGCACAGGCACUGUUUGAGGCUGACCCAUUAAUCCUGCCAUGGACUCAGUUCAAGCACAAAACACUCACUCCAUGGACAGCGAAAGCAGAUGAUAUGUUAUCACAAUGGAUGGCGUCUGAAGUUCUUUCUGUACAAUCUCAGAUUCGAUCUGCAUAUGAUCCAGAUCAGAGCCAUCUCCAAAUUCCAGCCAUCAAACAUUGGAUGCAUGCAGUGCCUGACCACGCUUUCUUAAGAAACCAAGCUUCUUCACCUGCAAUGUAUUUCUGGAAAAAACACGGCAUUGAUACAUUUAUGGAGUGGGCCACUUCACAAUUCACAAACACAAGGCGCCCGACAGAGACUCUAUCUACCAUACUCAACCAUGAUGAAAUUUCAACAACAGAUUCUUGGACAAAUUUUGAAACAAAUACUGUCUCACAAAUGUCCCAAGCUAAUUCCAGGAUCCUCAAUCUCUGGACACACAGUUUUGCCCACUGGAUGCAGUCUAAUUUUGAUGGAGUUACUCCAUGGGCUCAAACACUAUGGGCUGUAGAAAGUCCAACUAUUCAUAUGCGUAGUACAGAACCAUUGUGGAAAUUGGCUCAUAUCAAGGUAAUAAGAUCUUGGAAACAAUCCACGACAGAAAUGGCCUUACAAGUGAUAACAAAAAAGUCCACUACAGUAUAUUCCUUCACAAAAUUUAUAUUAGAUAAUGCCUUUAUUUUUGAUCAUACAGUCAGUCCAAUAGGAAGUCGACAGACACAGACUGAAGAUGAUGAAGCGAUAUGGACACAAUCCAAGUCCCUUAAAAAAUAUAUUCAGACAAAUCCUUACUCUAAAAUACUCACAAAAUGGGGACAGGGUGAAUUUUCAGAAGACAUUAUUUGGGCAGAACCUGAAGCUGGCAAAGCUAUGGUUUGGCAACAGAGCAAAUCUAAAUCUUUUAUUCCAAGGAUAGGAGAGACAGUUAAUGUAGUAAAAGCAAGGGCAGAAACUGAAUCCUCAGUCAAAACUUAUUUUGCAAAAUUAGUACCCAAUUCAUUGAGUGCACAGAUACAAGCAAACUUCCUAGCAAUGAAUGCUGAUGCACAACUUAUACAUGAUAAAUUUGUAUUGGGGACAAAUGCUAACUAUCCAUUAACAAAAAGUUGGAGAGAGGAAGGAAAUAGAGCAGUCAACACCAAGGGAAUCUCUGAAAAUCAACCUGCAACAGAAAUUGUCAACUCCCUUAAAAAAUAUAUUCAGACAAAUCCUUACUCUAAAAUACUCACAAAAUGGGGACAGGGUGAAUUUUCAGAAGACAUUAUUUGGGCAGAACCUGAAGCUGGCAAAGCUAUGGUUUGGCAACAGAGCAAAUCUAAAUCUUUUAUUCCAAGGAUAGGAGAGACAGUUAAUGUAGUAAAAGCAAGGGCAGAAACUGAAUCCUCAGUCAAAACUUAUUUUGCAAAAUUAGUACCCAAUUCAUUGAGUGCACAGAUACAAGCAAACUUCCUAGCAAUGAAUGCUGAUGCACAACUUAUACAUGAUAAAUUUGUAUUGGGGACAAAUGCUAACUAUCCAUUAACAAAAAGUUGGAGAGAGGAAGGAAAUAGAGCAGUCAACACCAAGGGAAUCUCUGAAAAUCAACCUGCAACAGAAAUUGUCAACUUGUGCACAGACAUGGUGUAUCCAACAUUCAAUUCUUUGUUACAAAGAGAGAAUGUAGCAACUGUAUGGUCACGAGUUGAACCUCAACAAAUAAAAUUUCCAUGGCAGAAGACAAAAUUGUCAAACAUAAUACACUGGACACAGAGUGACUCAUUAUCAAUAUAUCCAUGCAUGAAUAAUAAAUUAUCUAAACUCAUGCCUUGGACCCUUGUUCAAUAUAUACCAGAAUAUCACUUAGCAGAUUCAAAAGCAAUACCUUGGAGUGAGACUGAGCCUUUUCUAGCACAUAUAUGGAAAGAGACCACAUUUUCAAAAGUCAUAUAUUGGACUCAAACUGAAUCCCUGUCAGUAACCCAGUCAACACAGGAUUCAGUAGUCACACCAUGGAUCCAGAGGGGAUUUCCGCAAGAAGAUAUGUGGGUAGGUUAUACUGCUCCUAAAAUCAAUCAAUUGAUUCAGGAGGACUAUGAGUUAGAAAGUUCUCCAACAGUGACUCUAUCCUCAAUAGUUUUUACUUGGACACACCCUGAACAUAUACCAUUAGUUCCAUGGACAGAGUCCAUGGAGCUUAGAUACACAACAAUAAACAAAGGGGUGUGGCCUUCAUAUAGUCCUAUUAUAUUGGCCCAUCCUGAAUCCCCAGAAGUAUUUAUGCCAACAAACUCUGUUUCUGAAACUUUCACACCACUCAAAUGGAACGACUUCCCAAUAAAAUAUCACUGGGCACAGCCUUUACCUGAUAAACUUAUACCACUGACCAGGGUUUUAUACAUACCAGAAAACCUUUGGACAGAAGUCGUAUAUUCUACAUUUGUACACAUGACAAAGUUUAUAUCUUCAUCAGAAAUUAUUCCUAUACAGCCUACUUAUUAUGCAGUCACACCAUGGGCUAAAGAUAAGGUUUCAGAAAUAAUUACCUGCACAUUGUCUGAUUAUCAUGCAUGCAUAUCAUGGAACCAAAGUAUGUAUGUAAAUUCCAUAAUAACAGAGGCUUCUAGUUCUGUACUUAAAAAGGCCCUCCAAACUCAGUCUUCUUUAGAUUUUUUGGCACCAAUAAUAACCACCAAAUUUACAAUGUGGAGACCAAGUGAACUGCCAUUAUUGGAAGCUGAGUUGAAGCCCAUAGCUUCCAUAAUUGUUGAAUGGACCCAAGCUGAGGUUUCACAAAACUUAAUAGCAGAAACUUCAAAAACAACAGACACAUCUCUGAACUCCAUUAUAUUUCCACCUAUACUGUUUUAUAUGAAGGCAGAAACUGAGAAAGGAACAUUUUUAACAGUGACUGAAAGUGAAGCUAAGAAAAUUUUGACAGUGUCUAAUAUUAAUACUUUAAUAAUUUCAGUGCAUGCUCCAACUUAUGUUAUCCAACAUUCAACACAAAUUAGGUGGACAUCUCUUUUGUGGGCACCUACAGAAACCCUAGACAGAAAUACAUGGUCUUUUUCUGAAGUGGGAUCACCCUUAUCCUGGAAGGUGCCUAUUCCUUUAGCAGCUAGUUAUGAGCUUCACCACAACCCAAAACAUUGGUUUAAAACUCAAGAUGAAAGAAUAAAACCAUGGACUCAGUCAGACUUUCAGAUAAUCGAUGUUUCCACUCUACCGAUGACUAACAAAGUAGAGUCCCAUGAUCGACAUAUAGUGGGUAUGCAUUCUGCUACUGAUAUAUUUGAUGCCUGGUCCCAGUCUAAAACAGAAAGUGUAAGAUUCUGGAAUAUUUCAAAAGACAGUACAUCAAGGCCAUGGUUCCAAAUCGAAGCUGGCAUAGACAAUAAUCAGAUGCCGCUGAAAUCUACCGCAGUGAAAGUAUGGCCUCAGGCUGAAUCAGAAGUGUUUCGACCCUGGACCCAGAAUGUAUUUAAUAUCCCACUGUCACAGGAUGAAAUAGAACCAGAAACAUACUUGAACAUGUCCAACAUUAAUGCUUGGUUCCAGUUUCAAAAAAUUUCAACAAGACAAAGAACUAAAUUUGCCCAUGAAACUGUUACUCCAUGGAUUUGGCCAGAAUGGCAAAUCACUCAUUCCUGGAAUGAACAUGAGAUAAAGGUACCAAAAACUGGGUCACAUUUUAGAACAGAUACAUCCCAAAUAUUCUUAACCUAUUCAAAGUCUGAUGAGAUUAAACUUUGGACUCAACCUGAAUCGCAGCUUGUUAGGAGGUGGACUGAAGAUGCCAUAGUCACACUUUGGUCCCUGACUAAAAAUGAUGCAAUUAAGCCAUGGUUAGGACUGGAGUAUGAAACAACACAAGCUGUGGCACAGCUAAGUGAUGGUGUAAUCGAUCCUUCCGUUCAGUGUGAGGCUUCUACUGAAACGCUACCAGUGAUUUCCUGGAUUCCUUUUGAUGCAGUACCAUACUCAGUACAGACUCAGAUGGAGUCUACAUUUCAAUCCCCGACUCAAAUCCACGCAAUUAGGCAAUGGUCACAACCAGAAUAUGAAACUACAAAAUAUUUGACACAUUCUAAUGUUGGUGUGGCCUACCCUUGGGUUCAGCAUGAGGGCUCUACUAAGACUCUAGAGAUCAUUCCCUGGACUCGUUCUGAUACACUAAUAUACCCAUUACAGACUCAAAUCGACUAUGAAUUUCAGUCCCCGACUCAAGCCUAUUCAAUUAGGCAAUGGUCAUACCCGAAAUAUGAAAUUACAAAAUAUUUGGCACAUCCUAAUGUUCCUAUAAUCAAACCUUGGAUUCAGCAUGAGGACUCUACCAAAACUCAAGGAAUCAUUCCCUGGACUCAUUCUGAUAUGGUAAUAUCAUACCCAUUACAGACUCAAAUGGACUCUACAUUUCAGUCCCUGACUCAAAUUUAUGCAGCUAAGCAAUGGUCACAACCGAAAUAUGAAACUACAGAAUCUUGGAGACAGCCAGGUGUUGGUAUGGCCUACCCUUGGAUUACGCAUCAAGGUUCUACUGAAACUCUAGAAAUCUUUUCAUGGGCUCCUUCCAAUACAGUGAUAUCCUCACUACAGACUCAGAUAGAUUCCACACUUCAUUAUCUACCUCAAAAUUAUGCCAUCGGACAAUGGUCACAACCAGAUUACAAAACUACAAGAUCAACACAAACUAAUGGUCACGAAAUCAGCCCUUUGAUUCAGCCUCAAGGUUCCACUGCAACCCUAAAAAUAGUUUUCUGGACUCACUCCGAUACACUAUCAUACUCAAUACAGACUCUAAUGGAUUCAUUUAGGUUUUGGAACCAGUUUCAACCAAAAACACCCCAAAUUUGGGCCCCAACUGCAGAACAAGCUAGAGAAACACCAGUUUUGACUGGAAUUGGUACAGUAACAUCACCCUUUCACUUUCAAGAGACGCUUUCAAGGGAGAAACCUACCCUGAUGCCUCCACCUCAACUUGGCCCUCAAGAUAAGCACUUAAUGGAACCACUGUCUUUUAAGGAAUCGAUACUUAAUGUUUCCUUGUCGGGAUGUCACCUUAGUAUGGUAUGGAAAGAUAAUCUUCAAGCUCUAUGGCUCUACAAAACAGCAGUUCUUUCUCAUGAAACCACAGGCAAGCUUUCUGAUAAACAGAUAUUGGAAUUGCAUUGUUUAGAUGAGAUGACAUUAUCCUAAAUUAUGAAUAAAAUUUCUGAGGUCAGAUAUAUAAUCUUUUUAUCAAUAAAAAUCUUAUUUUUCGUGGGCAUUUUUCUUUUUUUUGGUUCUUUUUUUCGGAGCUGGGGACCGAACCCAGGGCCUUGCGCUUCCUAGGUAAGCGCUCUACCACUGAGCUAAAUCCCCAGCCCCAAAAAAUCUUAUUUUUCAUGUUAGUCACUGUCUAUUGUAUAUAGUUCUUUCUUUUCUGGGGGCAAAGGCCGUAAUUGACAAUGAAUACUAGGAAAACUGUUUAUAAAUUAUUUAGAAGCGAUUUCUUCCAAAAUUAUUGUAAGCGAU
rnacentral:lncRNA from 1 species